rnacentral:rRNA from 1 species
UUAUUAAAAACAUGUCUUUUUGAUUAUAAUUUAAAGUCUGGCCUGCCCAAUGAUUUAUAUUAAAUGGCCGCAGUAUAUUGACUGUGCAAAGGUAGCAUAAUCAUUAGUUUUUUAAUUGAAAGCUGGAAUGAAAGGUUAAAUGAAAAAAUAACUGUCUCUAUUUAAAUUUAUUAGAAUUUUAUUUUUAAGUAAAAAAGCUUAAAUACUCAUAAAAGACGAGAAGACCCUAUAGAGUUUUAUAUUUAUUAAUUUAUUUAAUUUUAGUAUUUUUUAUUUUAUUUUUUAGUAAAUAUUUGAUUGGGGUGAUAGAAAAAUUAAAUAAACUUUUUUUUAAUAAUUACAUUAAUUUAUGAAUAUUUGAUCCUUAAUUAAAGAUUAAAAGAUUAAAUUACCUUAGGGAUAACAGCGUAAUUUUUUUAGAGAGUUCUUAUCGAAAAAAGAGAUUGCGACCUCGAUGUUGGAUUAAAAUAAAUUUUUGGUGUAGAAGCUAAAAAAUUAGGUCUGUUCGACCUUUAAUAUUUUACAUGAUCUGAGUUUAAACCGGUGUGAGCCAGG